rnacentral:tRNA from 1 species
UCGCACAUGCCUGAACGCCAAAGCCCCGAAUAGUCAGCCCUUUCACGGCGGUAACAGGGGUUCGAUUCCCCUUGGGCGUACCA